AUUGAACGCUGCGGCAUGCUUUACACAUGCAAGUCGGACGGCAGCGGGGUAGUGCUUGCACUACUGCCGGCGAGUGGCGAACGGGUGAGUAACAUAUCGGAACGUACCGAGCAGUGGGGGAUAACUAAUCGAAAGAUUAGCUAAUACCGCAUAUAUUCUGAGGAAGAAAGCAGGGGACCUUUGGGCCUUGCGCUGUUUGAGCGGCCGAUAUCUGAUUAGCUGGUUGGUGGGGUAAAGGCCUACCAAGGCGACGAUCAGUAGCGGGUCUGAGAGGAUGAUCCGCCACACUGGGACUGAGACACGGCCCAGACUCCUACGGGAGGCAGCAGUGGGGAAUUUUGGACAAUGGGGGCAACCCUGAUCCAGCCAUGCCGCGUGUCUGAAGAAGGCCUUCGGGUUGUAAAGGACUUUUGUCCGGGAAGAAAAGCGCGAUGUUAAUACCAUUGCGUGCUGACGGUACCGGAAGAAUAAGCACCGGCUACUAC
rnacentral:rRNA from 1 species